GCGCAUGGCGGCAGCUAACACAUGCAGUCGAGCGGUAACAGGGCGUGUGCUUGCACCCCGCUGACGAGCGGCGGACGGGUGAGUAAUGCAUAGGAAUCUACCCAGUAGUGGGGGAUAACCUGGGGAAACCCAGGCUAAUACCGCAUACGUCCUACGGGAGAAAGGGGGCUUUUGCUCCCGCUAUCGGAUGAGCCUAUGCCGGAUUAGCUGGUUGGUGAGGUAACGGCUCACCAAGGCGACGAUCCGUAGCUGGUCUGAGAGGAUGAUCAGCCACAUCGGGACUGAGACACGGCCCGAACUCCUACGGGAGGCAGCAGUGGGGAAUAUUGGACAAUGGGGGCAACCCUGAUCCAGCCAUGCCGCGUGUGUGAAGAAGGCCCUCGGGUUGUAAAGCACUUUCAGCGAGGAAGAACGCCUGGUGGUUAAUACCCGUUAGGAAAGACAUCACUCGCAGAAGAAGCACCGGCUAACUCCGUGCCAGCAGCCGCGGUAAUACGGAGGGUGCAAGCGUUAAUCGGAAUUACUGGGCGUAAAGCGCGCGUAGGUGGCUUGAUAAGCCGGUUGUGAAAGCCCCGGGCUCAACCUGGGAACGGCAUCCGGAACUAUCAGGCUAGAGUGCAGGAGAGGAAGGUAGAAUUCCCGGUGUAGCGGUGAAAUGCGUAGAGAUCGGGAGGAAUACCAGUGGCGAAGGCGGCCUUCUGGACUGACACUGACACUGAGGUGCGAAAGCGUGGGUAGCAAACAGGAUUAGAUACCCUGGUAGUCCACGCCGUAAACGAUGUCGACCAGCCGUUGGGUGCCUAGCGCACUUUGUGGCGAAGUUAACGCGAUAAGUCGACCGCCUGGGGAGUACGGCCGCAAGGUUAAAACUCAAAUGAAUUGACGGGGGCCCGCACAAGCGGUGGAGCAUGUGGUUUAAUUCGAUGCAACGCGAAGAACCUUACCUACCCUUGACAUCCUGCGAACUUGUGAGAGAUCACUUGGUGCCUUCGGGAGCGCAGAGACAGGUGCUGCAUGGCUGUCGUCAGCUCGUGUUGUGAAAUGUUGGGUUAAGUCCCGUAACGAGCGCAACCCUUGUCCUUAUUUGCAGCGAGUAAUGUCGGGAACUCUAUGAAACUGCGGUGACAACGGAGGAAAGGUGGGGACGACGUCAAGUUCAUCAUGACCUUAACGGUAGGGCUAACACACGUGCUACAUGGGGCCGGUACAAUGCGCUAACUUCGGAAAAGUUCAGCGAAAUCCUUAAGGCGGUCUCUAGUUCCGGAAUCCUCGA
rnacentral:rRNA from 1 species